rnacentral:rRNA from 1 species
AGGAAUGCAAGUCGAGCGAACAGAAGGGAGCUUGCUCCCGGAUGUUAGCGGCGGACGGGUGAGUAACACGUGGGUAACCUGCCUGUAAGACUGGGAUAACUCCGGGAAACCGGAGCUAAUACCGGAUAGUUCCUUGAACCGCAUGGUUCAAGGAUGAAAGACGGUUUCGGCUGUCACUUACAGAUGGACCCGCGGCGCAUUAGCUAGUUGGUGGGGUAAUGGCUCACCAAGGCGACGAUGCGUAGCCGACCUGAGAGGGUGAUCGGCCACACUGGGACUGAGACACGGCCCAGACUCCUACGGGAGGCAGCAGUAGGGAAUCUUCCGCAAUGGACGAAAGUCUGACGGAGCAACGCCGCGUGAGUGAUGAAGGUUUUCGGAUCGUAAAGCUCUGUUGUUAGGGAAGAACAAGUGCGAGAGUAACUGCUCGCACCUUGACGGUACCUAACCAGAAAGCCACGGCUAACUACGUGCCAGCAGCCGCGGUAAUACGUAGGUGGCAAGCGUUGUCCGGAAUUAUUGGGCGUAAAGGGCUCGCAGGCGGUUUCUUAAGUCUGAUGUGAAAGCCCCCGGCUCAACCGGGGAGGGUCAUUGGAAACUGGGAAACUUGAGUGCAGAAGAGGAGAGUGGAAUUCCACGUGUAGCGGUGAAAUGCGUAGAGAUGUGGAGGAACACCAGUGGCGAAGGCGACUCUCUGGUCUGUAACUGACGCUGAGGAGCGAAAGCGUGGGGAGCGAACAGGAUUAGAUACCCUGGUAGUCCACGCCGUAAACGAUGAGUGCUAAGUGGUUAGGGGGUUUCCGCCCCUUAGUGCUGCAGCUAACGCAUUAAGCACUCCGCCUGGGGGAGUACGGUCGCAAGACUGAAACUCAAAGGAAUUGACGGGGGCCCGCACAAGCGGUGGAAGCAUGUGGUUUAAUUCGAAGCAACGCGAAGAACCUUACCAGGUCUUGACAUCCUCUGACACCCCUAGAG